rnacentral:rRNA from 1 species
UACGUAGGGGGCAAGCGUUAUCCGGAAUUACUGGGUGUAAAGGGUGCGUAGGUGGUAUGGCAAGUCAGAAGUGAAAACCCAGGGCUUAACUCUGGGACUGCUUUUGAAACUGUCAGACUGGAGUGCAGGAGAGGUAAGCGGAAUUCCUAGUGUAGCGGUGAAAUGCGUAGAUAUUAGGAGGAACAUCAGUGGCGAAGGCGGCUUACUGGACUGAAACUGACACUGAGGCACGAAAGCGCGGGGAGCAAACAGG